UUUAAUAUGUUCAGUUUUGGGUUUCGAUCAAGUGUUUACCAUUUUAAAGGUCCAUAAAUUAGAUUUGAACUGAUUUUAUUUCAGAGGACUAUCACACAGUUACAGAGGCAUAACUACAAUAAAAACAAUACACUGAAUAAGAACACUAAGUAACAGUUAGUUAAUAUUUUUGAUAUACAUUUUAGCUAGGAUUUUUGUACACCCUGCGUUUAGUGAUUGCGUGGUCGUCCUCAGUCUAUUUGUAAUUGCGUUUCUGCUUAAUAACUUAAAAAUGUUUUAACCUGUGACCUUCAAACCUGAGAUGCAUAUUACUCAUGGGCAGCUAUUGACACCCGUGGCUAUCAUAGCGCAAAGGCACAUCGAGCGUUAGGACAAAAUAGUUUCCGUAAAAUAUCUCAAGAACGCUAUUGCCUAAGAUCCUCAAUGUAAGUCAUUUACAUUGCUCAUGUACAAUAAAUGGUCUCUUAUAAUUUUGAGCCAAAGGUCAAAAUUGAACUGACCAUAGUGCAAACAGAAUAAAAAAUAAUUCCCGCUCAGUAACUUCUAAGUUUUGACCUACGACCCUCAAACUUGAUAGGCGCAUUCUUUCAUCCACACGGUAUGGUGCUCUUUUUGUUAGUAUAUAUAAAAACAACAAUUAAUGAUUGUAAAGGAUUUCAAUACUUUUGCAAACAUUUAAACAAAAUUGCUUUUUAAGUAGCACUUUUGAUUGCAUUGUAAUAAAAUGUAGAGAGACAGUUCCGAAAAUUUGUUGCAGGGCCACCUGGAUACUGGAGCAAACACCAGCGCGGAUAUGGACAAAGUAAGACUGGAAAUGUCAAUACCUUUAGGUGGACGGACCAACCUACCUGAUCCUAGUAUGGGAAGAUCUGACCUCCCACCAGAGACACUUCGUUUGAUCGAUGAGUCAAAUGGCAAUAACGAACAAGCACUGUAAUACAGCGCUUGUUGUAUGGGUUCUUUAACAAGCUACAACGACAAGCAAGCGUUUUGGAUCAAGUCGAAAGCUUCCCUUGAUGUGACAGUUUAUGCAAAACAGAAGACUGGAGGCAGAUUAAACUGAUAUCUUAGCUCAAUAGAAUGGCGCAACGCAGUGAACAGAACAGUUUGUCAAACAAGACCUAAGACAUGUAAUGUUAUUCCAGUAAAACGCAUUUUCAAUAGUAAAUAGCUAAUGUUUUGGCUAAGCUCGCUUUAUUGAGACGGGGUAAAUGAAACCAACAACCAUUUCAAAUGCACUAAACAACUCACAAAAUGACGAAUGUUUUUCUACUCGUACAUGUAGUUAAUACAGUACAGUCAGUAUGAGUGUAUAUCUGAAUUCGGGAGUUGCAUUUACUGUCCAACAACCUAAGAAACCACUUUUUGAGAAAGGCACUAUUUGUAAAAUGAAAUUUAUGUGCCAUUUGUUAUGAAGAUUUCAGUACAUGAUAUUCAAAAUAUAUGUUUUAAAGAUACUGAUGUUAUUAAACAUUUUUCACAGAAAGUGAUGAACUGAACAGAAAGCUAUUGAUUAAGUUUAAGAAGUUUUUUGUUUGUUUAAUGAUACAUAUACUUUGAACGAUUACUUCAUAUGUCUGUGUUUGUCUAUGUUAUUUGUGUUUUAUUUUCAUUUCCACUGCAAAAAUGCUUGUGCUGCGAACUUCUUGCACAUUUUAUAUAAAAGGGAUUUCACAUAAUCACCAUGAAGUAUAGCUAUGUGUGACAUACUUAUUCCGGGUUGGAAAAAGACUACAAGGUACCAAUAACCACAUUUUCAUCUCAAGAAUGUGAACAAAACCUUUUUUUAGUCCAAUGAAAGCUUUUACUCAUGAUUCAUCAUCAUGAAACUUGGAUGAACAUAGUAGAGAGAGAGUCACCCAUACUCCUACCUCCCUCAUGUCUCGCCACUUUAAUGAAACUUUUGUCAAGUUAUCCACUUGAGAUGUACACGUGCAAGAUCUGCUUGUUCUUUCGGGUUGGCAAGGGAAACGAUUUUUGCUUGAUCUAUCAAAAAUAACUGGUCAUUUUAUAAAGGUCAGGAAGACGUUCAAAAUUGGUUUAACUUAAUAAAUUGUUUUUGUUCUGAUUCGUAACUUUAAUGUGGCCGGUUCAGCUUUACACUGACACAAUUAUCAACUUUCCACCUUUUGUUGAUAGAGGAAGGUCCUAGGUAACCCUCUGACAAAACUUUAUAGUGAGGAUAUUUGUCACCUUAAUAGUAGCACUAGUUUUUAUCAUUUUGGAUACUUUAAACGAGUCUAAGUAUUUAGGCUUUGUCUUAUCUGAUUUUAUAAACAUGAUGUUAAGUGAUGGCGAUACUUGUGCUGUGAUUUUGCUUAUAGUUUGUUUUAUGUUUUUCAUAUUAAAAAGCCUGCAAAAUGUCUAUUUGGAGAGGAUUUUGUUUAUAAAUUAAAGCUAAUGCUUUCUGAUUAAUUCGUUUUUACUCACUCACUAGCUACUUACAGAGUGAUUAUAUACGUGUAUGUCAUACUAUAUAUUGUCAUUUGCCAUACUUUAUUGUUACAUAUUGUUUUGUAGUCAGGAUAGUUUCAUUAUUUUAUAUGUUCAAGAUUUUCAAUAAACCUGGACUCGAAACUUGAAUUAUUGCCACAUUUGAUUGACUUAAUUAAUUCGAGGUAGAUUUCUUACUUACACUGAAUCGAGAAAAGAAAUCUGAGUAGACAACUAGUGUGGUAGUCUUCCUCGCAGCAAAUGUAUUUUAGGUCAACAUGUGCUUUUUCAUUUAAAGUUCAUUCAGUUUAAGGGAGUAUAAGAUCCCAUCGCUUUUAAAGUACUGUGCAGAUGCAGCUGUCUAUAGUUUGUUUCAAAUCGGAGGCAAUUAAAUCAUUAAGAAGAUCCUUUAGAAACAUAAUGAAUACUAGUGGUUAUAUGUUAAUAUAUUAUAAUCGAAAGGGUGCGUUAACUUUUCUAAAUUUCGUGUAUCUUUUUUUCAUCUGUUUUUUUCUGCCUUUAGGCGAACCUAUUUUCCUAAACAGGGAGAUAAUUUAUGGGCUAUAGAUUAUGUUAAAUAUGUAAUUGCCCUCCCUUCUUAUUUGAAUAUACAUAAAUUAUU
rnacentral:lncRNA from 1 species